AACGAACGCUGGCGGCAUGCCUAGCACAUGCAAGUCGAACGAGACCUUCGGGUCUAGUGGCGCACGGGUGCGUAACGCGUGGGAAUCUGCCCUUGGGUUCGGAAUAACAGUUGGAAACGACUGCUAAUACCGGAUGAUGACGUAAGUCCAAAGAUUUAUCGCCCAGGGAUGAGCCCGCGUAGGAUUAGCUAGUUGGUGGGGUAAAGGCCUACCAAGGCGACGAUCCUUAGCUGGUCUGAGAGGAUGAUCAGCCACACUGGGACUGAGACACGGCCCAGACUCCUACGGGAGGCAGCAGUGGGGAAUAUUGGACAAUGGGCGAAAGCCUGAUCCAGCAAUGCCGCGUGAGUGAUGAAGGCCUUAGGGUUGUAAAGCUCUUUUACCCGGGAUGAUAAUGACAGUACCGGGAGAAUAAGCCCCGGCUAACUCCGUG
rnacentral:rRNA from 1 species